CCUACGGGAGGCAGCAGUGAGGAAUAUUGGUCAAUGGGCGAGAGCCUGAACCAGCCAAGUCGCGUGAGGGAGUACUGCCCUAUGGGUUGUAAACCUCUUUUGUCGGGGAGCAAAAGCCGGACGUGUCCGGCUGUGAGAGUACCCGAAGAAAAAGCAGCAGCUAACUCCGUGCCAGCAGCCGCGGUAAUACGGAGGAUGCGAGCGUUAUCCGGAUUUAUUGGGUUUAAAGGGUGCGCAGGCGGAUUUUUAAGUCAGCGGUAAAAUCGUGGGGCUCAACCCCAUCCAGCAGUUGAAACUGGGGAUCUAGAGUGUGCGAGAGGUAUGCGGAAUGCGUGGUGUAGCGGUGAAAUGCAUAGAUAUCACGCAGAACCCCGAUUGCGAAGGCAGCAUACCGGUGCACAACUGACGCUCAGGCACGAAAGCGUGGGUAUCGAACAGGAUUAGAUACCCCAGUAGUC
rnacentral:rRNA from 1 species